rnacentral:rRNA from 1 species
AUUCCAGCUCCAAUAGCGUAUAUUUAAGUUGUUGCAGUUAAAAAGCUCGUAGUUGGAUUUCGGAUGGGUUUGACCGGUCCGCCUUUGGUGUGCACUGGUCGCGCCUAUCUUGCUGUCGGGGACGCGCUCCUGGCCUUAAUUGGCUGGGACGCGGAGUCGGCGAUGUUACUUUGAAAAAAUUAGAGUGUUCAAAGCAGGCCUAAGCUCUGAAUACAUUAGCAUGGAAUAACGCUAUAGGACUCUGGUCUUAUUGCGUUGGUCUUCGAGACCGGAGUAAUGAUUAAGAGGGACAGUUGGGGGCAUUCGUAUUUCAUUGUCAGAGGUGAAAUUCUUGGAUUCAUGAAAGACGAACUUCUGCGAAAGCAUUUGCCAAGGAUGUUUUCAUUA